GGCAUGGAAUCCUGUGGCAUUCACGAAACUACCUUCGACUUCAUCAUGAAGUGUGACGUGGACAUCCAUAAAGACCUGUAUGCC
rnacentral:pre_miRNA from 1 species